GACGAGCGCUGGCGGCGUGCCUAAUACAUGCAAGUGGGACGCAAGGGAACACACUGUGCUUGCACACCGUGUUUUCUUGAGUCGCGAACGGGUGAGUAACGCGUAGGUAACCUGCCUAUUAGCGGGGGAUAACUAUUGGAAACGAUAGCUAAUACCGCAUAAUAUUAAUUAUUGCAUGAUAAUUGAUUGAAAGAUGCAAGCGCAUCACUAGUAGAUGGACCUGCGUUGUAUUAGCUAGUUGGUGAGGUAACGGCUCACCAAGGCAACGAUACAUAGCCGACCUGAGAGGGUGAUCGGCCACACUGGGACUGAGACACGGCCCAGACUCCUACGGGAGGCAGCAGUAGGGAAUCUUCGGCAAUGGACGGAAGUCUGACCGAGCAACGCCGCGUGAGUGAAGAAGGUUUUCGGAUCGUAAAGCUCUGUUGUAAGAGAAGAACGAGUGUGAGAGUGGAAAGUUCACACUGUGACGGAUCUAC
rnacentral:rRNA from 1 species